GAUGAACGCUAGCGGCAGGCCUAACACAUGCAAGUCGAGGGGUAGAAGGAGCUUGCUCCUUUGAGACCGGCGCACGGGUGCGUAACGCGUAUGCAAUCUACCUUGUACAGGGGAAUAGCCCAGAGAAAUUUGGAUUAAUGCCCCAUAGUAUAUAACCUUCGCAUGUUGGUUAUAUUAAAGUUCCAACGGUACAAGAUGAGCAUGCGUCCCAUUAGUUAGUUGGUAAGGUAACGGCUUACCAAGACGAUGAUGGGUAGGGGUCCUGAGAGGGAGAUCCCUCCACACUGGUACUGAGACACGGACCAGACUCCUACGGGAGGCAGCAGUGAGGAAUAUUGGUCAAUGGUCGCAAGACUGAACCAGCCAUGCCGCGUGCAGGAAGACGGUCCUAUGGAUUGUAAACUGCUUUUAUACAGGAAGAAACCCUCCCACGUGUGGGAGCUUGACGGUACUGUAGGAAUAAGGAUCGGCUAACUCCGUG
rnacentral:rRNA from 1 species